rnacentral:rRNA from 1 species
GAACGCUAGCGGCAGGCUUAACACAUGCAAGUCGAGGGGCAGCAUGAGACGGAGAUUCGUCAAAGUCUUGAUGGCGACCGGCGCAAGGGUGCGUAACGCGUGAGCAACUUGCCCGUUUCUGGGGAAUAACCGGUGGAAACGCCGACUAAUACCCCAUAGUAUCACUUUAAGGCAUCUUUUAGUGAUUAAAGAAUUUCGGAAACGGAUAGGCUCGCGUGACAUUAGCUAGAUGGCGGGGUAACGGCCCACCAUGGCUACGAUGUCUAGGGGUUCUGAGAGGAAGGUCCCCCACACUGGAACUGAGACACGGUCCAGACUCCUACGGGAGGCAGCAGUGAGGAAUAUUGGUCAAUGGUCUGACGACUGAACCAGCCAUGCCGCGUGAAGGUGACGGCCCUAUGGGUCUUAAACUUCUUUUGUAAGGGAGCAAUAAGGUCUACGUGUAGGCUGAUGAGAGUACCUUACGAAUAAGCAUCGGCUAACUCCGUG